UUGAGAAAUGUCCGUCGUGAAGAGCCCCUGUGCAGGAGCUCUCGGUUCCGUUCGCAGGGGCAAAGGUCCCCCUCAGCCGUACACUGCACCAUUGGUGACGGAGAGUUUUUUCCUUCAAUCGAGGUAGCGAGACAGGCCGAUUUGGAGGAGAGCGAAGCGGACGCGUUAUCCUACCCGCUGCCAGAGUACAAUCUCAACCUCAUCGUCAAAUCUUCCCCCAGUCCUUACGCUGUUGCCAGGGCUGACAGGCACGGGGGCGAAUGCGGCUCGGUCUACGAGGCGUGCUUGGAUGAGGCUGUGCUGCUGGGACACUGCGCCAGAGUAUCUGUCACUUGUGGCGCAGAGAAGAACUUUGACGUGAGCGCAUGUCUGAGUUGGUUCUACAGGUCUGUGCAUCCUUGCGUGCCGGACAUGAAGUUUGGAGAUCUGAUGCUGGACUACGAGUUCACCUUGCACGGCAGGGGUCGGCUGUCACCCGUGUACGCUUUGCUGAGCCAUUUGGCGCAGAGUUGCCGGGUCAACUGCUUCCCUGCACUCAAGUUAAUCACCCUCACCAGACACAGGGGAGCGUCGGUGUGGACGCGGGGCACCGACGCUCCGUUCCACCACACGCAGAGACUGAGGACCAACACGAUCGGAGCCUUCUUGUGCGCCCAGGAUCACAGAUUGGCACCUCUGCUCUCGAGGUGUUGUCACCCGACGCCAGUGGAUCCCUGCGAGCUGCUGGAAGGUUGCGAGCUGCUGCCUCGCGGAGACGAAGAGGAGCUCCUCCUGCGAGCCUAUUCUGGGACGCUCGGCCCCGUGUUUGAAUUUGAGAAGGUAGAAUGUUUCCCUAACAGGGUCAAGACCAGUCUGGGUGACUGGACGUUCCUCCGGCUAGUGAGUCGGUCCCGCGACGUCAACCGGCACCCGGGCACUACGGUGGUGGAUGGCCACACCAUAGCGUUUGCGUCUGAGUCUCCUCUGUUCUACCUGAGGCACAGCGGGCCCUUGGUGCAGAAACUGGAGUCUGUUGCUGUGGUGGUACAGAGCAGCUCCUUGUACCGAACCGACGUGCUGCUCAAUGAGGACCCAGAGUGGCCCGAUCCAGAUUUGAUAGCCGAGGGAGACCGAAUAAAGUGUAGCAACAAGAAAACAGUCAUUGAUGCCAUUUUUAUGCGUAGCGGAGCACGGGAUCCCCUGGAGGGCUUUGAGGCAAACGAGAGAUCCUGGCAUAAACUCAUAGGAGCUCGGUGGACGUUCAGAAAAUCUCCAGACUGUCAAGAUAGAGACUGGGAGCUGCAGUACCCGCUGUCCGAGAGCCUGACUGCAAUAGGGCGCCGGGCUUCCGGCGAGGCCACAGUAAAGUGGCUCUGCCUCGCUCCUCCUGUCAGUUUCACGAGGGCAACAACGGCAGACUGCCUCGAUGAGCUCUGUCGCAUGGAGCUGGACUCUCGUACGGCUCAAAUCAAAGACCCUGUGGCGUGGCGAGGUUUUGACAUUCUCUGUUCCAGAGUACUCGCGUGCCCCACUGAAAAAGUGUGGACCAGAGGUGUUUGUAAGGUAACCAACAAAGGACUGCGCGCGUUCGCUUGUCACGCUCUGGUGCCUAUCGCUAAUCUGAUAGUCAUAGUCGGGAACGGACAGUGGUACGCUUCCUCCCGCUGUGCUGACACGCCGGAUGACAUGCUGGUCUUCAACAGUGAGGUGUGCUCGGCCUCAGAGUUUAUCGCAGCCCUGGCGAGUAGAAUGCUCUCUGGAGAGGUACACCUAGAGUUGGAGAUAAAGUGCCUCCAAACCGGGCUGUACAAAUAUUUGCAGCGGGCAUUGGCCUGGUUUGCUGGAGCUACUGGACCUCUUAGAUCACGAACGGUGACCGUGUUUACACCCGAGGCAGACUUUGUGACAGAGACCUGGACUCACACUUUACCGCCCGGUUUAGAUGUUCUGAAAACAAGCAGCUCGGGCUACCUGGUGUCCUGCCAAGAGCCUUGUGGAGCCGGGGCGGAUGUGACUGUUUUGCUAGCUAGAUCCCAGGAGAUCACGCGCGUCAACUCUGCCGGCAACCUGGUGUUACAUUCAAACCCGGAGACCUUGAAAGUGUCUCAGAUGAGAGGGCAGCCGGGGGUGCACGCCGUCAUCAGGACUCCAGUGGACGACAACACGAGCAGACAGGAGAUUCACGGCUGCGCCGAGGUGCACGUUCGCUGUGAUCGCUCACUCAAAGAGUACUGCAAGCUCCACGCGCUGCCAAAGGGAAUCCGAGGCCCAGAGACCUGGAAAAGACCACUGCCGUGGUCAAGGAGGGACCCCGGUUCCUUUUGCUCCAAAGUGGCUGAACUUAGGUACAGAUGGGAAUCGGGGAGAACUGAUUUCACAGUGGCUCUUGCACGUGACAAUGAAGGAUGGUGCAGCGGAAGGAAAACAAAUUGGUCUGGAGACUGGAAGAGGUCCUCUGAUGGGAAAUUGAUAGCAAGGAGAGACAGGUUUUGGUACCUGAUUGAUGUAAAGGAAUCUCUUGCCAGACAAGGCUGCGUGGAAGUCACUAGCUCAGCUGAAUUCAACUCGCCUGAAUGCCAUAAAGAAAACCUGAACAUUGAGAUCAAAAACAAAUGUGGUGAGUCUGAGGAGACUGAUUCUGAUUGGCAAAGUGACACGGCUGAAGUAGAAAGUGAAAAUGAAGAAAAAGAAGAAGAAGAACAAGAAGAAGAAGAAGAAGAAAAAUCCCUGAAACCCAUCACUGUCAACUGUGAGUGGCGUGAGAUGGGAGUUUCCAGUUUCAUCAUACUCAAUUCUCGUCUCCAAAUUGAACUUGUCCCCAGUUUACCUUGCAGUGAAGGACACGUGUUUUUUGAACCUUUGCACAACGAAAACUACCAAAUUGAGAUGAGAUUGGAUGACAAUGGCAAGCUUGUAAGGUAUUACAAACCUCACAUGUU
rnacentral:lncRNA from 1 species